AUGCUUAUAAAGUGGAGAGUUGGUGUUUCCAGCCCAUCCCAGACAGAGGGGGCAAACCCUGUGCAAGCUUUAGCAAACUGGUGAGCUGAGGGGUGCCUUCAGCACAGUAACCUAGGGAAGAGGAAGGUUAUGGGGGAUCAUAAAACGUGGUUUGGGGUGUGGACAGCAUAGCAAAGAAAGAUGCCUUUGCCUGUAAUCUGCUCUUCUUGUAAAUAUUUACCUUGGCUGGGGCUGGCCUUUAACUGGUAGCUAAUUGUACUUCUGGGACAUCAGCUGUUGUUCCUCUCUCACUCAUGCUGCACUUGCUAGUCCUCCUCCUGCUUCCUGGUAAGGCUUGCCGAAGGCUGGCUGUUACCACACAGACAACACCAUGAACUUAGGACGGACAGCUAACGCAGCUACAUGCUUACAAGCC